rnacentral:lncRNA from 1 species
AGAGGAGGAGGUAAGGAUCCUGACGAGAGAUGAGAUUUCAAAGACUCAGACAGGAGAAGAGACAGAAAAGGAGUAAUAAGUCCAACUGUGACUCCACCUUGGGUUCAAAUCCCUUCUCGGCCUCUUAGCUGCCUGUGGGACCUUAGACUUCACUUUUUGUGGCUUCUUUCUCCCACCUUCUUGUUAAAAUGAUAGUAAUUUUGGACAGCCUCUUGGAAUUUUCGAGAAUUAGCUGAGAAAAGUCCCUGGGUAUGGUGGCUCCUGCCUGUCAUAGCACUUGGGAGUCUGAGGCAGGAGGAUUGCUGUGAGUUUGAAGCCAGCCCGAGUCACAUGGUGCAUUCUAGGUCAGCCUGAGAUACAAAGAGGAAAAGGCGGAGGGAAAUAUGGAGGCAGCUGACACGGUGUUUAGCAAUCAUGUAUGACCAAUUAAUAUGAAGCAGUUAUUAUAGCAGAUGUUGAACUGGGAUGGCUGUAGCGUAUGGUGUGCAGGGGCUUGUGCGCAGCACCUUGGUACAACCUUUCUUUCGCUCCUGGCCUCACUCCGCAAGGGAAAUAUUAUGCCCAUUUCAGAGAUGAAUGAUAAAGGCUCCCAGGAUGGGAUGACAGAAUCUACCUUGGACUUUAUUCCUAGGAUUCUCUCUUGACCCAGGGUUAGUAUCUCAUAUUACUACCAGCGCAUGGCUCUUUUAGGCCUCGUGAAUGUCUUGGUAGACACACGUCUUUUAAUAAGUUUUUUAUUUUUAAAAAAUAUUUCCGGAUUCCCUUGUCAACUUCCAGUU